GCAUCGGUGGUUCAAUGGUAGAAUUUUUACCUUCCAUGUCAGAAAUCUGGGUUCAAUUCUUAGCCAACAUA
rnacentral:tRNA from 1 species